rnacentral:lncRNA from 1 species
ACUCCGUUCAUAGCGAUCCAAUAGCUCGUUUUGAUCGGUUCAGCUAUUCUGGAACCAAUGGCGCUGACAGAUUUCAGAUCUGACGCACGAAUUUUGAGAUAUCUGAAAAUACAUGUAUUUUAUGUAUUUGUGCGUAGUUUUGAUAAUCGGAGAGUGGAUGGAUUUUGUCGCAAAUCGGCGAUCAUAUCGGGUGAAACAAAAUUGUGAGUUCGAUG